UGUGAGGGCUGGGCCAAAACCUUCCACUCCUCCUGCCAGGCCUGGGACCUGGGGGGUAGCGCUGUCCGCAGACACUUGGAGGAAACCUCACGGUCCAAGCCCGCUUAUGGUUUAUAUACUGAGAAGGGAGUCUCCCAGGAGAAAAUCCGGAGGAGAGAAGAGGAGUUCAUAGCCCCAAACAUUUUUCAUCAUCAUUGCAGUAGGGCGUCAAUCUGCCAUCUGUAACCCCAGACUGUAAAGUGGACCUAGCUGUCUUUAUUGUUUCUGAUUUGAAUUAAUUUCUGGCUGAAACCUACAUUCCACUGACUGUUGGGAAAUGUUACCAUUGGGUUCCUUCCCUUACCUCCGUGAUGUGCCAUAGUUCUGGGAUCCUACAAAGUGCUGACCUGUCUAGAUUGGAAUGUCCAGGUGACCACUGAGGCAUCUACUGUCCAGGUCCACGUGGGGCCGUGGUCUGGUGGGUCUCUGCUGCUUGUGUCCCACACUUGAGGCACAGAAUUCUUUGACUAGGCUGCCUGGCCCUUCUGCCUGGAUGCACCACUCCUCUGGGGUCCUGCUGCCCCCCAGUACUCCCCACCGCCUGGUCUCUGCCAUGCCUGGACGCACAGUCCUCUUUCCUCUCCUCCUAAGCUGGAAGGAGCCAUCUUUUCCCAGGAUGGGAGUGAAACUCCAAACUCAACUUGGCUCCUUCAAGAUAUCCCGUUUCUAUCAGCAAGGCCUGUUCUCCCUCUUAACUCUUCCCAGACCCCGAGGAAUCACUUGCGGGAGACAAAAGCCAGAAGGACUGUGGAUGACUUCUGCCUUUCAGCCUGCUCCCACCUCGUGAGGCAAGAAGCACGCAAGAGACGGUCAGCUUGCAUGAAGGGAGGAGAAAAUAGAGGAAAAACUUAAUACCUCAAAAUACGGUCUAGCCACACGAGAGAUUUCAGAACACCGAGUGGAAGGCAUCAGGGAAUUCAUAGUUCCGUCAGAGAGAAGGUGCAAAUUCUGAAGUACUUGGCAUUUACAAAUGGAUUGUUUCAAACCCACACUGGUCAAUCAAUUGUUUGGAAUUUGAAAUGUAUUUUUUUUUUUUUUCAAAAAAAUGUUAUAAACACUGGUUUGCUUUCCAGGCAAGCCCAGAGAUACUAUGGUGAAAACAAAACUUUUUAUUUCUCUUAAUACCAUUGGAACAGAGAAGAAAUGCUAACAAAGUCAUAGCUUCAAUCAUAUUUGUUUAGUUUUGUUUGAGAUCUGAAGAAAUAGUUUGGAUUUUUCAAAGGUUUUAGACGCUUAGGGAAUCAGCUGCUUGUGUUAUGUCCAUUUUUACUUCCUUCUUUCUUCUUGAUGCUAUAGUCAGUGCCAAUAAUGUUGGGGAUGUCAGCUACAAUCAUAGGCAAGGGAGAAAGGGCUCAAAAACACCAGAAACAGAAUGGGAAAAUUUUGAGAGAAACUGAGGUAUCUUACAGGAAAUUAAAGAGAAACGGGAAGGAGAAAAGGAGUCAAAGUGAAGGGUGUGCUUGUGAUAAGGAGGUUCCUUGAGGUGUAGUUAAUGGAGUUGAGAAAUGAGGAAGACAUGCAGAAUCACUCCAAGGAGGAGGCAGGAGAGAAGUGUGCAGAAAUCAAAACCCAAACGCCUUCAGGGCCCAGACAGGUACAGGAAAGGAGCAGGCUGGGGAUGAAAGAAAGGGAAAUAGUGGGGAGCGUGGCAAACCAGAGUUCAGGAAAUUCUAAUUUGAUUUUUUGUAAAACAUCAGUGUGAGCCUAACCAAAUACCGCUGCAAGCUGAGUUGUAUCUGUUGGCCACCUUUCAGAAUCUUUGGCAAAGAGAUUAAAAGCAGGAGAUCUGGAGUCAGACUGCCUGGGUUCAUCACCUGCUUCACCACUUAGUGGUCUGUGACCUCACUUUCCUCGUCUGUAUACCGAUUUUUCUGACUUCAUAGGAUUGUUGUGAAGUAUGACAACAUAGGUGAGAGG